rnacentral:rRNA from 1 species
AGCCCUAAGUGGGUGGUAAACUCCAUCUAAGGCUAAAUACUACCACGAGACCGAUAGCGAACAAGUACCGUGAGGGAAAGUUGAAAAGCACUUUGAAGAGAGAGUUCAAUAGUACGUGAAACCGUUCAGGGGUAAACCUGAGAAACCCGAAAGGUCGAAGGGGGAGAUUCAACCGCGUUUCGAUUCGUAAACGGCAGGAGUACGUAUAUGACGUUCCGAUUGCUUGACUGGUCUCGUGCCGGAAGAGCCGGACGCAUGUCGUGCUCGUCGAGCGGUCGAACGCGUGCACUUCUCCCCUUGUAGGACGUCGCGACCCGUUGGGUGCGGGUCUAAGGGGCUGACAUGGGCAGACCCGCCGGUCGUGUCGUGAGAUGCGGUCCGGUGGAACCGGUUGCUCCCGGCCCGCCCGCUCGACGGUAUACAUAUAUGGCGUAGGGCCGCGUUUUACGCGUCCGGCCUGCGACGAGCGUACACGGUAAACCUGUGCUCCGGACCUAGUGCCGUUGCUGGGCCCGUUGUCGCUGUCUGUUGUGGUGUUCUUGGACAGAGCUCUAAACGCCGGUCAGCGACGCCGUAGCUUUGGGUACUUUCAG